rnacentral:rRNA from 1 species
UAGAGUUUGAUCCUGGCUCAGGGUGACCUCGCCCGGCAUCUGCCGGCUUGGCUUUGGGGGUGCUCUCCAGCCGUUCCGCCAGCGAUGCCGACUUGUGGAUAGCCUAUAGCUUGCUGGAGGCGGGGCGUCUAUGGCACAACACCCAAUACACGGCACUGGGACUACGGAUGGCUCGGAUGGUGGCACACGACGAACUCAUCUCCGUGCCGAACUGGGGUCCCAUCCUUCUGCCUGAUCCUUCACCCUACUGGUAUGCGGGUGGCCGGAUCAUCACCAACCCCAGUUAUCUCCCGCUUUUCAUCCUGCUUGCACUGGGCAAGGCCCUCCCCGAUGGCCCGUGGUCCGUCAUGGCCGCGCACCUUCCCAAGUUUAUGGCGACGGUAGCAUCUCAGGGAACUGCACCGGGUUGGAUCACCUCCUU